UACGUAGGGGGCGAGCGUUGUCCGGAUUUAUUGGGCGUAAAAGGCUUGUAGGUGGCCACGCGAAGUCGGAUGUGAAAUCUCCCGGCUCAACUGGGGAGGGGUCAUUCGAUACUGGCGGGCUCGAGGCCGGUAGGGGGAAGCGGAAUUCCCGGUGUAGUGGUGGAAUGCGUAGAUAUCGGGAGGAACACCAGUGGCGAAGGCGGCUUCCUGGACCGGUUCGUGACACU
rnacentral:rRNA from 1 species